UUUAUUUUGCUUUGGAUAACUAUAUUUCAAAACCUUCUUACUCAUUUGUUUUCCCCUUGUGGGUUAAUUUUGGAGUUUAGAAUUGGUUUCUUGGUAAUAUCCUAAAAAUGCUUCAUUUUAGUGCCCAUAAGUUUUAUCCUUUGGGACCUUUCACUGUCUUAUAAUUUUCUAUAACUCUACCCUAGUUAGUUUAUUGCUAAUGGCUAAAGUGAACCUACUUGUUGAAUGACUAAAAUGGAGCUAGCUACCUAUGAACAUGCUUCUACCAAUUGUAAGGUGUCUAGUAAUUGUGAUACUGUAUCAGCAUUCCCUAGUAUAUUAAUUAGCCAGGUAUUUUUGGUGGACAUGGUGCUCUUAGUAAUUUUGGUGGAUUCUUGUGUCUCUUGAUAAACUCAUUCAAUCACGGCUAACCACUUAAAUAUGUCUUUUGCUUCCAGGAUUGUUUUUAUUUCUUUGCCAUUAAGGUAGAUGUUUUGGCUAUAGACAGACUGUUGCCAGGGUGCAAACACAUAGCAAAAUCAUGAGACUUUCUCUAAUUUAACCAGAUCUCUGAGAUGGCUUAUGUCUGACCCAAUGCUUGUUUGUAUCAUGAGGAAUGACAGUGUUCUAAUUUCAUUUUUGUUAGUAUAACAAUUUCUGCCCCUAUGGCGUAAAAUCUGAUUUACCAGGACAAUCCAACUUUUGCCUUCUCUUGGGAAAAUAUCUUCCUCUUCCUGAGAUGCCACAUGGAGGUGAACUGGAAGAAAAAGAGCAAAAACUGAAACCUGAAGAAUGGAGGCUGUCUUCAAACAAGCCCAACGGAAUUUGAGGAUGCCAGCACCUUUCCUACAUAUUUAAACUUAUCUGCAUUCCCGUUUCUGGAAUACCCUAUACCUGCAUUCUAAGUAGACUCAUGGAAGCUUCAGAGGUCAUUUAACACAUAAUGUCUCAUCUGUACAUCUUGAAGUGGUGAGUGGCUUGCCUAAGAGAACACAGAUGCUCAGUGGCAGAGCCAGAACAUGAACUCAUGCAUAAUGACCUCUGUCAUCUGGGGCCAUCCUCUGAUUUGGUACUUGUGGUUGGUACAGACUCUCUGCGCCACACCUCAUUCCACUGUGAAAGCAUUCUCAUACUGCUUCUAAUUUCAUAACUGUUAAAAAUUAUUUGGCUACGCAUAUUUCAUGCACUAUCGAGUAAAGUGAAGAGGAGAAAAAUAAAGCUACAUAAAAAAUCCAAUAAGUAAUACAUUAAAUUUGAAAGUAAACUUUGUAUGAAUAAGUUCUAAAAUAAAAAUCUUAAAAUUUUACUAUUCUUAA